CAUUGCAAAAACGUUCAAUAGCAUAUCGGAGCAUUCGAAUAUCGACCGAAAAAACCAUUGAUAUUUUGACAGUUGCUGACAACAGCACCGAUAAAAUCGAGUGAUACGACUAAUUUUCCACAGAAAAAUCAUAAAGAUUACCGAAAAACACGUUAAUGAAGAUGCAGAUGGAACAGAUUUUCGAGUACAGGGCAACAUACAGUUGUACAAAGUGUCGUGAACAAUGGAUGUCAAAGAAUGCGAUGCGAAAUCGGCCGACAUUAUGUAAAAUUUGUGGAAUGCCAGCCUAUCCAAUUGACGAAAAUUUAUGCUCGUUUUUCCACGUUCCACGAUUCAGAUCAAUCUCACGUUUGCUGACAAAGUCAUAACACACCCAACACACACGAAAAAAAUAUAGACGAUUCAAAGUUUUUUAAGAUGAUGUCAGAUCGAUGUCGAUGACGAUUUUAACCAAACGAAGAUGAAUUUACUUUUAGAUAAUUUUAGCUACUAAAUCCACCACAUUUGGAAAAUUCUAUCAUCAUCUGAUCCGGCCAAAUGUGAAAGAUUUACCUUAAACUGCAUUCGCUGUGACAACAGCAUUGAAACUAAUUUCUGUUCAAAUGUCAAACGCCAACGAAAAAAAAACUUUAGCAAUUAAAAUGUUGCAUUCGCUUAGAAAAUGUGAUCGCUGUUUGAAACAAUGAUAUUAAAUAUCGGUUUCUACAAAUUAAAA